CAUAGGCAUCUUAGUCUGUAUAAUAUCGUUCAAACUCAACCCCGGCUGAGAGCCCUCAUUAUCAAAUCCUAACGCACUGGAGGGCGGGAGUCAGGCGCCGUGGGGACAGCCCCGAGAUGCCGAAAGUCCCCGGCCCGCUUCCUCCUGUGAAGACGUAGCUGCGGGUGGCUGUGGUGGUGGCGUCCAAGAUGUCGACCAAGAAUUUCCGAGUCAGUGACGGGGACUGGAUUUGCCCCGACAAAAAAUGUGGAAAUGUAAACUUUGCUAGAAGAACCAGCUGUAAUCGAUGUGGUCGGGAGAAAACAACUGAAGCAAAAAUGAUGAAAGCUGGGGGUACUGAAAUAGGAAAGACACUUGCAGAAAAGAGCCGAGGCCUAUUUAGUGCUAAUGACUGGCAGUGUAAAACUUGCAGUAAUGUAAAUUGGGCCAGAAGAUCAGAGUGUAACAUGUGUAAUACUCCAAAGUAUGCUAAAUUAGAAGAAAGAACGGGAUAUGGUGGUGGGUUUAAUGAAAGAGAAAAUGUUGAGUAUAUAGAAAGAGAAGAAUCUGAUGGAGAAUAUGAUGAGUUCGGACGUAAAAAGAAAAAAUACAGAGGGAAGGCAGUUGGUCCUGCGUCAAUAUUAAAGGAAGUUGAAGAUAAAGAAUCAGAGGGAGAAGAAGAGGAUGAGGAUGAAGAUCUUUCUAAAUAUAAAUUAGAUGAGGAUGAGGAUGAAGAUGAUGCUGAUCUCUCAAAAUAUAAUCUUGAUGCCAGUGAAGAAGAAGAUAGUAAUAAAAAGAAAUCUAAUAGACGAAGUCGCUCAAAGUCUCGAUCUUCACAUUCACGAUCUUCAUCACGCUCAUCCUCCCCCUCAAGUUCAAGGUCUAGGUCCAGGUCCCGUUCAAGAAGUUCUUCCAGUUCGCAGUCAAGAUCUCGUUCCAGUUCCAGAGAACGUUCGAGAUCUCGUGGGUCGAAAUCAAGAUCCAGCUCCAGGUCCCACAGGGGCUCUUCUUCCCCACGAAAAAGAUCUUAUUCAAGUUCAUCAUCAUCUCCUGAGAGGAACAGAAAGAGAAGUCGUUCUAGAUCUUCUUCACCUGGUGAUCGCAAAAAAAGACGAACAAGAUCACGGUCACCUGAAAGGUGAUUGGUGAAAACACUAAACAACCCUGAGCCCAGGGCCAACCCCUACGGAACACCACUACUUUACCCAGGCGCCACAGGUCAUCUUCUGGAUCGUCCCAUUCUGGUUCCCGUUCAAGUUCAAAAAAGAAAUAAUGUAUUAAAAAUUACAUCUUAAAAAAAAAAAAAAUCCAGUGCAGUGCAUGAAGCAUAUUUUUUAAGAAGUUGAU